AAGAAUCUUAUAUAUAAUAAGGUAAGAAAUGAAAAGGAUAUAAUUAUUUUUAUUAGUAUGAAAAGAGAUUAUUAUGGAGAUAUAAAGCCAUGUAUUAAAGAGUAGCUUAUGAUUUUAUGUAAAUACAUAUAAACUCUAAGAUAAAUUACUUGAUAAACGAAGCGAAUUGAAAUAUCCUAGUAGCUUCAGGAAAAGAAAUCAAAAGAGAUUUUAUGAGUAGUGUGAACGAAAAUAAAAUAGCCGAUAAACAAUUAGAAUGGUCUAAAAACUGUUUGAACUUGGGGAACCUACCUCAAAGGCUAAAUAUAAUACAUGAGCAUCAGAGAAUAAGUACCGUAAGGGAAUUAUUGAAAUAGUAGUUUUAUAAGCAGCUCGAAUUGUUUUUCUAAAACGAGAGCGUACCUUUUGCAUAAUGGGUCACCAAGUUAACAUUAGAUGCGAGCGAAAAACUGUGAGUAGUACCUCGUCAAACUGAGCUCCAUGGCUGGUGUCAAUCUCCCGGCGAGGCGGGAAGAUUAGAUAGUCCACUUGUCUGCUUCUGCCCACUAUUUGGUGAGCUAACGAGGGGUGUAUUCCUACGGGAAGUGUGAGGUGGGCACUAAGGUUAUUAAGUCCUACGAUAUAUUGAAGAAUAAUACCUUUUUUAUCCAAGGAUGGUUAAAGUAAUCUAGGGGUCUACUAAGGUGGAUCCCAAUGAAAGCGGUUCGCGCGUAGUUAAAACGAUGAUAAUGUAAGAGAAAAUAAUAAGUGUCUAAAGUUAGACCCGAAGCCUAGUGAUCUUACUAUAGUCAGGGCUAUAAAGGCUCGAACGGGUUAAAACAAGGAUUAGCUCUUGUAAAUAGCCCAAGUGUAAGUGAACCUUAUGCUAUAGACUUUUCAAAUUGCGGGAAGGCCUUAAAGUAAUCUUAACUAACCAAGUAUAGUAAUAUAACUUGGGGCGCAGGUAAUGACUCGCGGCAUAGUAAAAUCAAGAUUGAUGUACGUAAGUAUAAUGGGAAAUCCGCAUCCAAGCUUCAUUAUUAUAGUAAUGAAGAAGGUUCAUCGACUAUAAGGAGGUCGGCAUUCUUUUUUCGUGUUCAUUUAAGGUAUAUUUAGGCGCAAGCUCUUAUAUUUUUGCAUGAUAUCUGGAAAAGAUUGCUUAAGAUAUAGUCAAGCCUCAAUGGAAACAUUGCAGGAUAAUAUUAUUUUAUGUUUUAUAUAUAUAUACAAUUUUUAAUUUAACACAGGUAGCUAUUUCAUGGCGCGUGUCUUGGUUGUAGUACACUAAUCUCGCAUACAUUUAAGGUAUAUUUUUAAGUAAAGAUAGCUUUACUUGAAUGUGAGAGAAAGAUGCAUGAUAAUCUAAUUAUUAGUAUGAAGUGUUAAUUAGAUUUAAAAAUUUACACUUCUACCAUCACACAUAUAAUAAGAAGGGGAACAUUCUGUAGGUCCUAAUCUUCGAAAGGUAAAACGACUCAGUCGGGCUGACACCCCUGCUGCUGUUGGGGGCAGACCUUUCUUAUUAAUUGUGGUGGAUCUCCGCGAGUAGUGGUUUACCAUUACCUAGGUAUAUGAAGAAGAACCAAACUAAGAAAAUUUACUGCGUCACAAGGCAAUAAAGUGAUUUGUAUAGCGAAACGCAACUGAUUAUAAAGGUUACAUCAAUUGUUGGUUAUACGAAUAUUAUUGUAAGCGAGCUGAAAUGCUUCCCUCUGGAGAUAAAAGGCCUUCAGACAAACUCUUUAACCUAGAGAAACGGUUUAGUUGAAUAACCAAGAGCUAAAACGGGUGACAAAGUUUAUCGUAGUAGUGUACAUAUUUAGAGUUACACCUAGAACAAUCGUCAGAUUAUUACUCGUUUAUUAAUAUAAAAAGAAGUCUUCCAAAAUUUCAACUUUAAUCUAAAAUUUUAUUCAGAGUUUGUGCCGAGAGCUUGCGCCUUAAAAAGAAUGUCUUUUAUGGCUUCUAGCUUGCGCACGCAAUUCUGUCGUUUUUAUGUUGCUGAUUCUUCAGGUGCUAGUUCUAAAAAUAAUAGCAAGGAUAUUAUACCAGUGGUUAUAUACCCUGAUGCUGAUUUAGAUAAAUCUCGAAUUUUAGCUGAGAAUUUAAAUACAAUCUGUGUCUACCGUUGAGUGAAUAAAAUAAAUGGAGAUAUUUAUGUGGGUAGUUCUACUAACCUUAGAAUAAGGUUGUAUACUUAUUAUAGUCUGGGUUCUUUGAGUCAAAGUUCAAGAAUUAUAGAUAGAGCUCUUUUAAAAUACGGUUAUUCUAAUUUUUCAUUUGAAAUAUUGGAAUACUGCACAAAAGAAAAUGUAAUUGAACGUGAGCAAUAUUAUAUUGAUUUUUUCAAACCUGUAUAUAAUAUUGUUGAAAAAGCAGGCUCUACUUUAGGUUACAAACAUACAGAUCUUAGUAAAGCAAAAAUGAGAAAUUUUCAACUUUCCGAGGAAGUUCGUAAAGUUAAGCUUCAGUCAGUAGCCAAGGCUGGUGAGGCUAAUAGAGUGAAAGUUGUAGUUGUUAAUAUAAAAACUUUAGAAAAGAAAGAAUAUCUUUCUAUGACUGAAGCUGGAGAAGCUUUAGGUGUCCAUCGAAACAACAUAGGUAACGCAAUGAAAAAUAAAAGAGUUAUACAAAAAAAUUUCAUUGUUUGUGCCACUAGUGAAAAGGAGGUAAUUGCCGAGGAAAUUCGUCUAGCUAAUCUUAGUCAAGAAGAAAAGAAGGCUGGUGCUUCUAGUAGAGUAAAAGUUGUAGUCGAAAAUAUAAACACACUAGAGAAAAAAGAAUAUCUUUCUAUGACUGAAGCAAGUAAAGCGUUAGGUGUUCAUAAGACCACUAUAGUGAAAGCAAUAAAGAACAAAAGUAUUGUUAAUAAAAGUUUCAUUUGUCAUCUAUACUCUAUAACUUAAUUUAUUUGGGGCGCAAGCUCGUCUUACCUUUUUAGUGGGGUGUAAGCUCCGUGAGAUUAGGUUUAGGCUAAUAAAACAAUCUGUUCGCUGUAACUUGCGUUUUCAUAUAUAAACAUAAAAAAAAAUAUUAUCCGUUAAAUGGAUAGUUUAAACUAAAAUAGUUAAACUGUUUAGGGAGAAAUACCUUAGCUAUACCUUUUAAUUCUUAGCCAUAUAGCGAUGAAUUAGUAAGGUUAAAGAGGUAUUCUGUAUUGUUGCAAAAAUAUCCGAUGAACUGUGGUAAGCUUAGUGAAAGACAAUUCUGACUAGGAUAGCUGGUAAAGAAAAGAUGUAAGCAGUCUUUAAAUGGCCAGUGUGUAGAAAUGAACUUUCUGCAAUAAAUCAUCAAAUUGACGGGGAAGCCCUAAAGCAAUCUAAACCAAGCAGAUGUGGUAACAUGUUUGUGGCACAGGUAAUGACUCGUGGUAUGGUAAAAUAUAGAUUGAUUAACGUAAGUUAAUGGGUAAUCCGCAGCCAAGCACCUUUAUAAACCGAGAGCGUAUGGUAUAAGGGAUAAUCCGAAGAAUUACCUCUAUAUAAUUAAAGGUGUGCAGUUCAUCGACUAAAUGUUGGUUGGCUAUAAAAAUUAUAGCUUAAGAUAUAGUCAAACCUUAUCUGAAAGGAUACAAAAUAAUAAAUACUACAAAUUUAGAUUAAGAGGAAGUCGGGCGCGCUAACGCAAAAAAAUAUAAAAAAUGAAAAUAAUAAAACAAUUAAAUAUAACACCCACAAUUAUUUAUAAUGAUUGUGAUUUAGAUAAAGUAAAAAUACUAAAUGAUAGUAGAAAUAAAGCAGGUAUUUAUUGUUGAAUCAAUAAUAUUAACGAUAAAUUUUAUGUAGGUAGUUCUGUGAAUCUUACCGAAAGAUUUUAUAAAUAUUGUAGUCUUAAGCAUUUAACUAUGCGUAAAACACCUAUUCACAAUGCUAUCUUAAAGUAUGGAUACAGUAAUUUUUCUUUAGCUAUAUUGGAAUUUGUUGCAGACAAAGGUGAAAUUAUAAAUAAAGAACAAUAUUAUUUAGAUUUAUUAGAUCCUGAUUAUAAUGUGCUGGUAAUAGCUGGUUCAGCCUUAGGGUAUAAACAUACAGAAGAAACCUUAAAGGUUUUUAAAGAACGUGUACUUAGUGAGGAAGCUAGAAACAACUUAUCUAUUGCAGCUACUGUAAGAAUUUUAACUGAAGAAGUUAGAGAGAAAAUCUCUGAAAAACGUAAAGGUAUAAAACUUUCAGAAGAAACACGUGCAAAGAUUUCUAAGUCAGCUAGCGACCUUAUAGGUGUAAAAGUCGAUGUUUUUAAUAUCGAAACAAAUGAAAAACUAUCCUUUGAUAGUUUCACUAGCGCAGCUAAGUACAUUAAUGUAAGUAGAACAGCUGUGACUAGAGUUUUAAAAAACGGUAAAUUAAUACAAAAGAUUUACAUGAUUAAAGCUAAGUAGUAUUUAUUAUUUGUUAAAUGGAUAAUAAAGUAUAUAUAGGUAUACUUAUUAUUUAGGGAGAAGGACUUCAGCUUUACCUUAUGGGUAGAAGAAGUAGAUUUGUUUCUGCGAAACCUAUAAUAGUAGGCAAUUUAAGUAACAUUAUAGCAGGUACAGAAUUUAAUCUCAGACCAGAUGUACAUAUUUCAUAUUCAUUAGGAUAUGAAAAUACAUUGUUCGCUGGUACAUAUCGGGGGGCCGUAGAAAGCUUUAUCGGUGAGUAUGUAGACUCGGAAUGGCUUAUAUGGAUCUUGAAUGAUCAGACAUAGAAUGAUAAGGUUGAAUGCAGCCUUUUUGUAGAAGUGAACCUUCUGCUAUAAACCAUCAAAUUGCGGGAAAGCCCUAAAGCAAUCUUAACUAACCAAGUAUAGUAAUAUAUCUUGGGGCGCAGGUAAUGACUCGCGAUAUAGUAAAAUCAAGAUUGAUUUACAGUUGUAAAAUGGGUAAUCUGCAGCCAAGUACCAAGUAUAAAUUAUUUGGUAUGCAGUUCAUCGACUAAAUGUUGGUUGGCUAUAAAAAUUAUAGCUUAAGAUAUAGUCAAGCCUCAUUCGAAAGAAUGCAAUGGCAAUAAAGUAAUUUUAAUUUUGGUGUUCAAUAUAUUGCAGAUAACCAAUUAUAUAAUAGUAUCAUUACAGCUCACGCUAUCUUAAUGAUAUUUUUUAUGUGCGAUAUCGCUUAAACUAAUAACCCUCUUUAAUAAAUAAAAAAUAUAAAAUCAAGAAAACGAAAAUUAAAAUUACUUUAGUUUCAGUAUAAAAAGAGUUUACAUCGCUCUUUGGCUAAAUAAAUUAGCAAGCUCGUCUCUUUGGACAUUAGUCCUGGGCCUCGUUAGGCCAUAAUUACCUGAAACCUGGUUCUGAUCAGAACUAGUUGUCUAAAUGGAUAGUCCCUGUUGAUGAUUGAUUACUACUAAUCAAAUAUAUCACAAACUAUUUAGGGAGAAGUACCUUUUAGUUUAACUAUAUACAUUAUAUAUGUUAAAUAAAAAGGUAGAUUUGUGUAUGUCAAAAGGGAAACAGCCCAGAACAAAAGUUAAGGUUCCAAAAUUAUUGUUCAGUGAAAAACAAGAAGGUUUUUUAUUGAGUCGACAAGGAGAUGGGCUUAGAAGCAGCCAUAAUUUGAAGAACUCGUAACAGAGCGCUUGUUAAAUCUUUAAAGGCAUCGACAAUUUAACGGAUCUAAACAAUAUACCGAAACUUUGUCCUCAUUUAACACUAUAUACUUUAUUUAAUAUAGGAUUUUUAACACUACCUUCGAUACUUUUUUUAUUACUUAUCCAGGCUUCGCAGACUUAAAAUCUGCGGAGGCCAUUAGGGUCUGGACCGAAAGGUUAAAUUAAAAUAAUAAAAAAAUUACAGAGCCAUAACGCAUGCAGAAUUUGCAGCCAGAAGUGGUGGAUCGAUGGGUCUAAAUUUUUUGAAUAAUAUAGGGUUAAUGCAGGGGUAGCAGAACGUUGGGUUAUAUUAGAUUUUGAUUUUUUUAAAUCAUAAUAAUAAUAAACUCAAUUGAUAAUGGUGACAUGAGUAACGAAAAGAUCUAAUAUUAUUGGGGAGUAAGUUCCGACAAACUAAAAAGAUGAGGAAAAGAAACUAUAUUCAGAACUCGCCUAAAGCUUAAGGUUACCAGUCAAACGGCCUCUAAGUUUAUAACCUGAAGGUUAAUACGAUGAGAUAAUUACUAAAAACAACACUUUGUCUAUGAUUGUUAAGUGUAAAGUGUGCUGGAAAAAAGUAAUUCCUAUUUUUGUCCAGGAACCUUAAAUAAAAGUAAGGGUAACUGGUUUCUUCAAUAAACUAAGUAGAUGAGAAGAUUGUACGAUUCUUAAUAAACUAAAUAGAUGAGAGGAUCGGAAAUAGAGCAGAUAGAUACCGUACCUGGAGACUACCACACAAGGAAGCUAGUAGAGAAUACGAAGGCGUAAGAGAUAACAAUCAUAAAGUUGGGGUUAGGCUCCCACAUUGUGAUAAAGAGCCAAAUUCCGGGGAAACCCUAAAACUCUAAUAACCAAGGUAGUAGAGGAAACUUUACUACUGGCCUGAUUAAUGGUUCAGGGUAUGGUAAAAUCAUUAGAAAUUCUAGUAAUAGAUAAGGGUUAUCGCGGAUCUAAAUCAGUAGUAAUGAGACUAGUGUUAUUCAUCUUAACUAGUGAUUACUCUACUGUAAAAGAGCAACGAGUAGACGGUUCUUCAAUAUUUGAUGUAUUGUAAGGUGUACUCUAGUCGCCAGGGAAACCUGGUUUUUAACAUUUUAUAAAAGUACAAGGUAUGCAGCUAUAUAGGAUUUUCUAUGUGCAAUAAACACUACCACCGCAGGUGUUCUAAUUUUAGUUCAGACGGCGAAUUGUCACGCAAUUAAGUAAUGCAAGCUGGGUUAGCGUCCCAUUGUUAUUGCUCCGAGGGACGAAUUAGUCAUAACCUGUUGGUUUGGGAGUCUUUAAAGUUAAACCUUAGAUAAUAAAUAUGAAAUUAAAAAAAAUUAUACUUAUUUAUUGUCCGCCCCUAAACAUGAUAGAUUCACAAGAUCUACUCCGACUUAUGUGUCCGUACCUUACUCAUCAAGUUAAAAGUAGGAAUGAAGGAAGUAAGUGAGGGAUACAGUGAGAGAUAAAAGGCCUUUCGUUGUAUCUGCGUUUAAUUGAACCUAAACAUGGUCCAAAGGGUAAUGUAGUGAAUUACACUACACGGUCUGUAAAAAGAAUAAUUUUAUUAAUGGAGUUACCUAUUAUCUUGGCUCCCACUUAGUGACUCAAUGAAUUAAAAAAAUAAAGCUACAAAAAUGUACAACUCAAAUUUAAUUAGUCCCGGUUUUAUUUCCGGUUUUAUAGACGCAGAGGGCUGUUUUCAUGUUUCUAUUGUUGACCAUAAAAAUCUAAAAAUUGGUCAAAGUGUAAGAGUAAUUUUUCAAAUUUCUUUGCACGAAAAAGAUAAAGCUCUUUCCCCACGCUACGCAGGGGAAACCCUUAGGGUUUCCCUGACGGGAAACCCCGCAGGGGUUUAGAUUUAAUAAAAGAUUAUUUUAGUGUAGGUAAGGUUAUUGCACGUAAAGAUGGUGUGUAUUAUUACCAAGUUACCCAAAUUAAAGAUUUAUUAUUAAUUUUAGAUCAUUUAUUAAAGUAUCCUUUAAUAACACAAAAACGAACAGAUUGUGAAUUAUUUAAACAAGUUGUUGACUUAAUGAUAGAGCAAAAACAUUUAACUAAAGAAGGAUUAGCUGAAAUAGUUAAUAUUAAAGCAGCUAUGAAUUUUGGAGUAUUAUCUAAUAAUUUAGUUUCUAAAUUUAUUGACAUAAAACCUGUCAAAAGGAUUGAGGUAAAAAAUAUAGAAAUUCUUGACCCAUGUUGGGUAAGUGGAUUUGUAGAGGGUGAAGGUUGUUUCACCGUGAAUAUUUACAAAAGAAAAGAUAGUGUGUUAGGUGAAGGAGUUAAGUUAGUAUUUAAAGUAACUCAAGAUAAAAGAAACAAGGAAGUACUUGAGUUAUUUUCAAGUAUUUUUGGUUGUGGUAAAGUUUAUAAUCAAUCUUCUAAAGGUGGAGUACUAGAUUAUAUGGUAACAGGUCUUGGAGAUAUUACUGAAAAAGUAAUACCAUUUUUUAUGGCUCAUCCCUUAAAAGGAGCAAAGUUAAAAGAAUUCCAAGACUGAUGUGAAGUAGCAGAAUUAAUGCAAAAUAAGGCGCAUCUUACUAAAGAUGGUUUAGAAAAAAUAAGAUCAAUCAAAUUAGGUAUGAAUUUCAAGCGUAUUUAGGUUUUUUUAAUGGCGGCGUUUGCUAGGCAUGUGUAGCCUAACAACAAAAUUAUAAAAUGUUAAAAUAAAAGUUUCCACAUUAGCCUUGUCCUGCGUUUUAAACAACGUAAGUAGGAUAUAAUUUGUGGUCGAAAGGAACUCGGCAAAUUGAUACCAAAACUUCGGGAAAAGGUAGGCUCAUUAGUCUUGAUUAAUACAAGUAAAAAGGAAGAAGCAUAAAAUGAUGUUGUACGACUGUUUAAUUAAAACACAGCACUCUGCAAAAAGAUGAUAAAUCUAAGUACUGAGUGUGAUACCUGCCCGGUGCCGGCUGGUUAACGGAAAUAACUAAACUGUCGUAGGUUUGGUGUAGAAGGAAACCCCGGCUAAUGGCGGCCUUAUAACUGAGGGUCAGGCUUUCAAUAAAUUAGGGCCCUCAUUAAAUUUAGCUAUAUGCUGGAACAAAUUUUUUAAUUACACUAUAUUAUUUUGCUUAGAAGAGCUAGCUAUAGUACUAUACUUUAGCUUUAUUGCAAAUUAUUCCAUUCUUUUUUUUUUUUUUCCAGUAACAAUUGCUAGCUUAUGGUUUAACGUUUUAACGGACUAACAAUUAAAUUUUGAAUUUUCAGUGUGUAUAGUACACAAUAGAGUUUACAUUGUAGAAGUUCAUUGCCGUGCCAAUUUUUCUACGCUAGUUCAUUGGUUUAACGAUCUCUAUUUUUAAAAUAAUAUAAGUAUUUAUAAAUAGAAAAUGAAAAUAUUAAAUAUAAGAACACUAAAGAUACAACCUUUAUUAAAUUUAGUCCGGGGUUGUAUUACAAAAAAUGGAUUAGUUAGCAAUAAAUUUGGCGGUACUUUCGCUAGCUUACACGGUAAAAGUUUACAUACCAGUUCACCCCUUUUAUCAGAGGGGUCAAUUGGUCUAACGGUGUCGGCUAAUAAUACAGGUAAUUUAGAAUUCAAUCAGCAGGAAAGAUUAGAAAAGUUAGUUCAGGAUGAGAACUACAAAUAUUGAUUAGGAGGUUUUGUGGAGGGAGAAGGAGCUUUAGUAAUAUCUAUAGUGAAGAAUACUGAGUUAACAAAUAGAGUUGCCUUACAACCUGAGUUUAAUGUUGUACAACAUACAAAUGGUAUGGAAAUACUUUAUUCGUUCAAGAUCCUUUUUGGGAAUAAAGGAACAGUAACCAAAAAAUCCGGAUCCGCUAAUGUUUUAGUUUAUUCUUUGAAAGGUACUAAAAAUUUGAAAAAAUAUGUGUUACCUUUCUUUGCUAAAUACGUUGCAGUAUAUUCAAGUAAAUAUAAAUCUGAAAUUUUUGAUACUUUCAGCUAUGUUAUUAAUAAAUUAGAUGAGAAUCAUCGUAAAGCAACUAGCAAAGAAGACCUUAUAGAAUUAAUUAAAUUGGUUUAUACUUAUAAUCCUGAAGGUAAGGGAAAACAAAGAAAAAGAACAUUAGAGGAAAUCUUGGAUUAUAUAAAUGAUCCUAACCAAUAAGUAAGGAACCACUAACUUACUCAUUAAUAGAGCUUAAACUUUUCUAAAAUCCUCAGAGACCAUACGCUAAACAAUCUAAAUAGAUUGAUGAUUUGGUCCAGCGGGCACUUGUUACUUUUUAAGAUGGUAACAAGGGAUAGUGAUAUCUUGCCCGUUGCCUAAGGUAGCGGAAUACCUUGGCCGUUAAAUGCGGUCUUUGCAUGACUACAAAUUCACCAUAUUUAUUAUUAUUUUAAGUUAAUUAAAUGGUUUGUAGCCAAAAUAUUAAAAAGAAUCAUGAAAAUAAAAAACAAUAAAAAACAUAUAAUAUCGAAUGCCGUCAGUUUAAGACGAGAAUGUGGGAUUUACCUUUCUCACAUAUACCCAAGUAUAUGAAAAAAUAAUUUUCUUACUUCGGUAAAUUUAAAGGUUAAUACUAAGGAUUGACCUUUAAUUUAUAACAAAAAAAGUGAAAAUUUAGGUAAUUCACUUAGUCCAUAUCAACUAGCUAUGAAAUAUUUAAAAAGCGUUAAUGCUAUUACUGCUUUGGAAGUAAACAAUGUUUUAGCUUUUUCGGGUAUUAGUAUUACACAAAAUCUUUUAGAUAAUAUUUUAAAUAGACCUAGAUUAGUUUUUCAAAAUUUGAGUCUAUGUACUUUAAAUUCAUCUGAAUUUUUAGAACAAGUAGGAACUAUAAGAAAGGAGAAAUGUCCUGCAGGGGUUUACAUAUGAACUCAUUUAUCUACUGGAGAUAAAUAUGUAGGAUCUAGUUCUUCUUUAGCUCGUAGAUUAAUAGGUUAUUUCAAAAAUAGUCACGCUGAUGUAGGAAAAUUAAUACCUUUAAUUAAAAGUGAAGGUGUGGGUGCUUUUAAUUUAGAAGUUAUACCAUUAAUAACGGAUUAUAAGGCUAAACAAGAAUUAAGUAUUGAGCAAUAUUUCCUGCUACACUCUGAAUAUAAUUUGAAUAGGUUAAGAGUCGUAAAUAAUAUUUCUGGAUCUAGAUCUAAAUCUUUAUUUAUGUAUACUAAAGAUUUUACUAAAUUAAUGUUCUCUUCAAGUACUCAAGAAGAUUUCAUAUUUAAGUUUAGAAUUCAUCACACUAUUUUUACCCAAAGUAUAAUGACUGGUUCAAUAUAUUUAGGGAAAGGGAAGUAUAUAUUCACCGAUCAACCGGUUGAAGGUGCUGAGGAAAGUAAUCUGUCCGAAUCGGAAUUACUCGCUAUUUUAGAGGAGGAUAGGUUAAUAGUUAAACAAGACGAAGAAAAUAGAGUAGGUAGAAAAGUCACCAUAAGAUCCAUAAAAGAUGGAAAUUUCGUUCAAAUUUUUGAUAGUAUUAGCGAUUGUAUUGCAUUUUUAAAUUCUACUACUCAUUUAUUAGAUUCAGAGAAAGGAAGUACAGCAGGUAAGUUUUCUAAAACAACUUUAUACCGUUAUAUAAAAUCAGGAAAACCUUAUAAUGGUUUUAUCUGUCAAUGGACUGACGACCAAACAUCUCAUAUUAAAGAUAAAAGUAUAGGUGUAAAGGUAUUACAUAUUCCGACAGGAACUGUAAAUGAAUAUCUUACUAUUCGAAAAGCUGCUUUAGCGUUUGAUCCUGUUACUACCGGUCAAACAAUAAAAGCUUAUAUCCCCUUCGGUCUCGCGGAGACCUGGGUAGCCCCAUAAUUUAUUGAGGGGCUAGAAAAUAAAAAAUUAUUCAGAGGAGAAUAUAGAAUAAGUUAUUUAAGUAAGUAACGAAUUCUAAUUAGGUAUAUAGACGAGCUUACGCCUCCAUUAUAUUCGUUGUUUGAGUGUUCGCUAUUUGUAGCAGUAUUUUUCAGGUCUCUGCUUUUGUUCGAUUAGUGGCUAGUGUUUGGCUAAAAUAAACUUAAAAUAAAAAAUAAAUUAAUAGAUUGACAUUAAGGUCGUUGAUCUAAAUUGUGCAAAUAAAAAAGAAGCAAACUCCGGGAAUAUCCCUAAAGCUCUUUUUACCAAGUUUAAGUUUAAAAGAUUUUAAAUGGCUUAAGUAAUUAUUAAGGUAUGGUAAUAAUAAAGGAGAUGAUACGAAAGAAAAUGGGUUAUCGCGGAUCUAAGUCACCUCUGGUCUUUGAUUAUGUGUAAAAGAGCAACGAGCAGAUGCUUCUUCAAUAUUUUUAUUAAUAUUGUAAGGUGUGCUCUAGUCACCGGUAAAUUGGCGCUUAACCGAAUUUAGUAAGUUAAGCUUAAAGUAUAUACACAAUAGCCUAACCUAAUGUUUUAUUUAGAGCAUGCGCUUUAAUAAAACUAUGGUUAAAUUUGUGUAACGGAAUGGUGUAACGAUACAACAGCUGUCUCUAUGAUUGACUCUGUGAAAUUGGAAUAACUGUGCAGAUACAGUUUACCUCUAGUUAGACGAGAGUGCGACUAGUAAAGUGCUUGAUAGCAAUGUGGCGAAAACCCACCAAAUAACCCGUUAUUUGAACUCAUACGGCAUGCAUUCGAAGUAAUUCUUUUGUGUGAAGCCCGUUAAAUAACAAUCAUAAGAUUGUCCAACCUUUCUCUAUUUUAUGUUUAAAGUAUAAGAUGGUAGCUAGGCUGGUGAGUUAAAUUACUAAGGAUAGUAAAUACGAAUCCACGUUUGAAGCGUAAAACUAGAUAUUUAUGACGCAAGCACAGCUUCGCUAUUAAAUAUAUUUAUUGAUUGUAGAAAAGAGUUCUCGUUCUUUUCUUUAUGGGUCUAAUAUCAAUAUACGUAUAGUGGGAUCCUAAGGUAAUUAUUAAGGUGUUAUCAAGUAAACUAGGUAAGCCCAAUGUUACCCAUCGUGAUUGAUCUUUUAUUUUGAGGUUUCAAUUUGAUGGAAGUUUAGUCGUGAGGCUAAAUAUAUAACAGUGGGUAAAGGAUGCUCUAAAAAGCGAACGCUUUGUGGUAAUAACAAGGAUAGGAUCGAUAAAUGAUCUAAUUCGAAAGAAUGCAGACUUAGAGCAGGCGUUAAUAAUAAAUAAUCAUAAGAUAUACAUAUGUUUAAAACAAGCACGGACGAGCUUGUGCUGUCGAGUGGUGUCGUAAUAAGUGCAGGUAGCAUGAAUUAAUAUUCCCUUUUUUAUCUGUAUAUUUAUAAUAUAUUUAUUAAAGAAAUUUGAAGAAAGCGUAAGGUGUACCGCCUACCCUUGCGAGGGGUAGAGGCAUACUAGUAAUAAAUUAUUUGAGACGUAAUUUAUUGCUAUAAUAUCUGAUUUAAAUUAGUAUUUAAGUAAGAUACGUGUGGAAAACUGCCAUGAAAAAGAUUAGUAACCAACCUUUUAUUUGUUGUCAUGUUAUAAACUAACAGCGAAUGUAACUAUAACCACUGUAUGUUGAAAGGUGGAAACACUGGGGAUACGUUUAACUUGUAGGAAGGAAAUAAAGUAGUGCAAUGCGAUGAGUAGUUGGAGAUCUUAAUAAAUAUAUUAGGUUUGCAAUAAAAUAUAAAAUAAAAGCCAUGAAAAAAUUUAAUAAAAAUAUAUUAUUUACUAAUCAACCCAAGGUUUUGAACCUUAAUGUCUCAACAUUAACUAUAAGUAGAAUAUUGCUUACUAAGCCUAAAGUACCGCUAUUAGUAUUAGGGCUCUUUAGGUGCCGUAAUUAUUCUACAACUGUUUCUUUGGGAACUCACGUUUCCAAGGAAGCUUCUGAGGUACUAAAAAUUCAAAGUAACUCAGUGAUUGAAUUCGAUUUUAGAUCAGAUAUACAUAUUAACCUAACUCCUUGAUGAGUUACGGGUAUAAUCGAUUCAGAAGGAAAUUUUUCUAUUGUAACUCAAAAAACAUCAAAAGGAUAUAAAAUUUCUUUAACUUUAAAGGUAACACAAAAAGAACAUUCUAAAGGAAUUCUUUUAGCUUUACAAAAAUACUUUGGUUGCGGAAAUAUAUAUCUUGAUAAUAAAAAAGAAAAUGCGUAUAAAUUUAGUGUAAAUAAAGUAGAUGAUAUAUUAUACAAAAUUAUACCACAUUUAGACAAAUAUCCUCUAGUUACAUCUAAAAAUUUGGACUAUGCUGAUUUUAGAAGAGUAGCCUUACUUAUGAAAGAUAAGUUACAUUUAAACUCAGAAGUACAAAAUGAGAUAUUAUUAAUUAAAAAUAAUAUGAAUAGUUUACGUACUUUUGAGGAAAGAUGAAACUAUUUCCAAAGUAUAGGACCAAUUAGAUUAACUAAUGAGUGAGUUCAAGCAUUUAUAGACGGUGAAGGUUGCUUUCAGUUUGGUAUUUUAAAUACGGUUAAUAGAGGAAAGCCUUAUACAGCUUUGGCUCAUACGUUAGAAGUAGCACAAAGUAAUCAUGAUGUAUGAGUGUUAGAUGCUUUAAUUCAAUUUUUUGGUUGUGGUUAUAUUAAACCUAAAUAUAAUAUUAAAAAUAUUAAUGAAGCAAAAAAUUCACGAAUUGUGAAUAGAUUUGUUAUUAACCAGCAUGCAGUUGUUACGGAAUUUUUUGAUAAGUAUCCUUUAUUUACACGUAAACGUUUGGAUUAUUUAGAUUGAAAGAAGUUAAUUAAUCUAAAGGCUGAAAGAGCUCAAGAUACUCCUGAAGGUAUACAAAAAAUGAAGGAUAUAAAGGUAUCUAUGAAUAAGGGUAGAAAAGAAUAAUAAUUCUUAUUUAUACUCUUAAUUAUAGAAAUGAUUUUUAUUUGCCUUAGCUGCAACAGGAGCUUGCUGAUCCCCAUAAGUAUGUUAAGGGGGCAGAAAUAUAUGUAUAAAUUAUGAUAAUUAAGAAAAUUUUAAUGCUCGAGCCGUAUGCGAUGAAAGUUGCACGUACGGUUCCACGAGGGGGAAGUUUUAGUAAUAAAAUGACCUAUCUCUACAGACCCUAUGCAGCUUUACUGUUACUAAUUAUUGAGUAUAAUAACAGCAAAUUUGAGAAGAUAAGGUAAUCGAUAGUAUAAAAGUGAAAUACCUUUAUUUGCUUAUUGUAUUAUUAUGGAAUAUUAUGUAUAUUGUCUAAUGAUAUAAGUUAAAUACCUUAUAUUGUUGUCAGUUAAAUGUAAAAGGAUCUUAAGUUAUCUCUUCAAGCGUUUUAGAAAGAAGGUUUAGGUGAAAUUAUGUUUAGCUUGACGGUUUAUAUAUUAUAAACAUCAGACUCUAUGAUUUAUGAGAAGGGAUAAAAGAAGGGGAACGUUACUUAGAUGACUAAGAGAACGAAAGAGAUAAACCCAACCCGGAAAAAAUACUUAGAAUUGCUAAGAGAAGUUCUUAUAAAAAAGAGAGAACAUUUGCUAGGAGACAGUUUUUUAAUUUUUAAGCUGUGUUGGUUAUAAUCCAACUCUAAAGUGAUAGUAUUGGCCCCUGUAUAGGGGUAGGACUAAAUUAAUUAUACUUAAAAUAUAUAGUCUUCCAUAGAUCUUCCCCUGCGUAGCGUGGGGAGAUCCCCGUGAGGGGGAUCUAAUUUUAUUUAGCAUCAAAACUUGUAUAAGAGAGAAUCCUUCUAUUUUAAUUUUACCUUUUUAUUAAGCUCAAAGGUUAUAGUCCCUACAGACUCAUUUUCAUAAGGGCAGGUGAGGUAAUUUUUUUGAUUGGCAGGUCAAGUUGGUUUAGCAUAUACUAUAAAAUUAAACUGGUAUAACGAAAGUAUAAUUUAUAUAUAAGGUUAUAUGGUUUACAAUGUAAUAAAUAAAACUUAGAUAGUGAACUAUAAUAUUUCUAAAUCGCAUUUUAAAUAAUUAAAUUAUAAAAAAAAAAUAUAAAUGUUAACUAAAAUUACAAAUUUUCAGGGCGCAAGCUCUAGUUUUUUAAUAUCCAGUAUGCUACGCACAUCUUGCUGUCAGUUUUCAAGAAGUAAUCAUAUAGAUGCGAUAGAUCAAAAUGUUGUUUUUUGGAAUAAUAAUACAGAUAAAUUCUUUCAAUGGUUUGUAGGAUUUUCAGAGGCUGAGUCUUGCUUUAAAAUAAAACCUAAAAACCGAAAUGGUAAAUUACAUAGUUUUUAUUUUGAAUUUGAAAUCCAUCUUCAUAUAGAUGAUAUCAAGCUUUUAAGAUUCAUAUGUGAUACUUUAGGUGUAGGUAAUGUUUAUGCAAGAGAAAAAAGUAAUUCUUGUAGUUUUAUAGUAGGUAAUGAAGAAGGUCUUCGUACUUUAAUUAAUAUUUUUGAUCGUUAUACUUUUAACGGUAUUAAGUUAUUAGACUAUAUAGACUUCAAAGAAGCUUUUUUAAUUUAUUUUAAUCGUAGCGGUACAUUGGAUGAUAAUUUAAUUAGCAGUAUUCUUAAACUUAAACAAGGUAUGAAUAAAGGUCGUGUUGAUUUUAGUUUGCCUAAGGAUCAUAAGAUAAACAUUACCAAAUAUUGACUACUUGGAUUGAUUGAAGGUGAAGGUUCAUUUAGUAUAGCUAAAAGUAAAUUAAGACCUAAUUUUCAAAUAUUGUUUACUGUAGCUCAGAAACCUCUUUUAGUGGAAAUAAGAAAAUAUCUUAUAAGUAAUUUAGGUUUUGAUAGAUUUUCAUUAUGGAAAUUAAAUAAUUCCUCUCUUAUUGGAAUUUUUGAGAUGAAAGCUAAGGGUAAUUCUAAGCCAACAGUAAGUUUAGAAAUUCGUAAUGUCCCUCUAUUACGUAAUUACAUUCUUCCUUUCUUAAAAAGUAUGCCUUUCAUAUCUAAAAAAAGACAUGACUUUAUGGAUUUUUUUCUUAUAUGUAAUGUAUUAUACGUAGGAGGGCAUCUGCAUGAUAAUAAAAUAAAGGAUUUAAUCUUAAAGGUUUCGUCUGGUAUGAAUGACUUUAGAUUAUCUACCUAUAAAGCAAGUUCUAAGGAGACGGCUUUAACUUAUGAUGAGCUUACUAUUUUAAAAAAUUUAGGUAAUUCGGCUAUUCAGCCAAAUUUAUCUUUAGACCUUGAUAUAUUAGAGGAUAAUUCUUCUUUGGAUAUGAGAGGUAUUUUUAAUAAUAGUGUAGUUUAUCUUAUUAUUAAGCCAAAUGCUAAAGAACUAGUUGUAGGUAGUUUAAAAGAAACUUCGGAUAUAUUAGGUAUAAAUAGUGAUGUUUUAAGUAAACUAUUCAAAUCUCUUCCUGCUAACUCAAAUGGUGUGGAAAUUAACAGAUAUUUUGUAAGGAGAGUAAAAGUCUUUUGUGAACGUUAGCUUACAAAAGACUAAUGUGUCGAUUAAGAUUAAAUAAAGUAUAAUUAAUUAUGGUUUACAGUGCUAUUUUAAGGGAAUUAGACAAAGUUACAACUGAAUAAUUCUUAGUUCGCUUUAGAAAAAUUAGGUGAAAACGGUUAAAGAACAAAACCUAGUUCAAGACCGUCGGCAGUUGUAAAUGUCGCUACAGACUGGUUCGCCAGGGUUAGGCUGAAAUGUCUGUCCAAAUGUACAGUCGGACGAGAUACGAGAGUUAGUUAUAGGCGGCUUCGCCGUAGCACAAAAAAUUGGUGCUAGCUCUCGCAAGGAGAUAGGUAAUAUUAAAGUUUUAGUUGGAUCAGGUAGCAUUCUUGUAACUUGGAGGUUAUGGCUAUCUUAAUUUUAUUUAACAACUUUAAUGGCCCUUUAAGCAAAUGAAGGGUUUAUAUGCUCCUUUCCCUUAUCCCUGCCGCAAGCUCUGGGGGGGAUAAUGGAAGAUAGAUGAAACAAGUAAAUAUGUUUUAUUUGUCUACAUCUCGUUGUUAUGCGGGGCACAGACCCCAUAAAGAGUAGAUGGGAGUGUCUAAGGAUUGUGAUGUUGGUUGCGAAAAAUCGUGUUUUAGUUUUUUAAUCACGAAUCUCGACGCAAGUAUACUUCGUAGGGAUACGCAGCUAUUAAUUUUGGGUAUAUUUUUUUACCUAAGGCGGGAAGUAACCCCUGUUACCUUGUCUUAUAAAGCUAAACUCUAGCUUUAAGGGGUAAAAAAAAUAAUUUUUGUUUGCAUGUAUUAUAUAACUAAGUUGUAUGUAAUCGUUUGCUAGUACGACACGGAAAGGCGUACAUAUUAUUGAAAGGGUAAGAUUUUAGCUAUAGUGAAAUUAGCUUUAGUAAAAAAAAAAGUACUUUAAUAAUGAUAUUGCUGCUUACCUGUCUGCGUCUAGGGCAAUGCCCUAGGACAAGGGUAGGACAACGCUGGCAUUUGGAGUAACAUAGUGCUUUUUCUAGUUAUUAAUUAAUACUUAGCAGUGUUUUUAAUAAUAAUGUUAACUAUUUACCAAGUUUAACGGCUUAAUCUUGCUUUACUGUUUGAUUCACAACAAAUCUUACAGUCGCGUAAGCGGGGCAUAGGAUCACAAGACACAUUAAGGAAAGGUCUUGGAUUAUUGGAAAAGCUACGCUAGGGAUGUUUGUCCUUUAAUUUAUUUUUUUGCUUAAUUAGAAUAAUAGUGAAUAUAUAUAUAUAUAGCUAUUUAUACGAGCCUUCACCCUAUAUUUAAGUUAUAUUAUUACUUAAUCUUCUCUUAUUAUCUUACUGCUGUGUAGCGUGCGUGGGGGAUAGUAGUUUCAUCGCGAUACCAACCGCUUGAGAUUUUUAGGGGAAUGGUCACCUAGCUACCUAAAUAAAUUAUGUGGCUUAUCCAUAAUUUAUUCCGGACGACUCUUUUAUAUUUUUUUUUCACUGUUUUGUACUGAUACUGGUGUGCCUCGUUAGUAAAAAAAAAUAUAAAACUUCCUGAAGGUGUUGGUGUAAAUAGAAAGGUAUAAUAAGCAGGAAGAUAGGUAAGGUAAAAAAAAUUGUAAGCAAGAAAAUUAUUAAUAAUUUAAUUGGGUUAAUUUCAAAAAUUACUUCUCAUCAAGAUUGGCUACUAAUACGGAAGUAUACGAUCCUUAAGGGAUUUUUUUUAGGGUCCUCAGAGAUAGAUACUCGCUCUUAAGGGAGUGAUAAUUUAUACUUUUAUAUAAGUGUUCUUACACUUUAUAAAAGCCAAUCUUAGAUACACGUAAAUUUGAAGCGAAAUUUAUCUUAUCUAGUAAAAAUUAAGAUAAAAACGUUCAACGACUAAUAGGUGAGUAAAACUAACAAUAAUUCUUAUCUAGAAACCCAGCACUUUUUAUUAUAUAUAAUUAAAAAUAAGAAAAUUUACUCUUGAAAACCAACUUUUUUGGCGCAGUAGUUUAUUUAGGCUAGUAAGAAGAAUACGUGCGACUACUUGAUAUGGCUAAAUUAGCCUGCGAUGCACACUUAGUAUGCAGCUGUGGGCAGGAGUUAGCAUAUAUUUUAUUACCCUUUCAUAACUAUGUUCGGCAACUUCGGUCGCAAGCAUGCAUACUUCGGUGAGCAGCCUAAUUAAUUAUGAAGGAGGGGUGGAGUAGUCUAUCAUGCAUACUUCGUGAGCAGCCUAAUUAAUUAGGGGAUGGCUUCGCAUAACAAGCCCGCCCUCUCAUGAUAAAGAUAAAUUUCUUAACAAAAUUAAUAAAAAUUAUUACUAUAGUGAAGAAUAAAAUGAAAAAAAAUCAAAAUUUAAUCAAAAAAGCUUCUACGCAGUCCAAUUUAAUUAAUUCUUCGAGAGGGGUCAAAGAAUCUACGAUAAAAGAUAUGAUUAUUCCAAAUAUUUUUAAGCAAAACGUGAAAAAUAAUUUGAAAUUGAGACCCUUUAAUGAAAUAAUAAGUGAUGUAGGGGAUAUACAAUAUUUUCCUGCAUGAGCAAAAGAGUGAAGAAAUAGUGUUUAUCAUUAUAAUAGUAAUUUAAUAAAAAAUUUUCCUAUAUACGAUAUCAAUAUUGUUAAAAUAAUAAAAGUUUAUUUUGAUACAUAUUUUAAUCAUAAAUUUCUUAAAUACAAACAUAUUCUUACUAGGAAAAGACGUUUAUCAUUUAAUAAAAUUUUUUUUGCUAGACCGGAAAUUAAACAUACUAAUUCUAAGGCUAUUAUAACUCUCUAUACUUUUAAUAGAGAAAAGGUUGCUUUAUUAAAAAAAAUCAAAAUUUUAAGUAAUUUAACUAAACAGUUACUUUGUUUACUUAAAACACGCGGUUAUUUUAUUUUUAGAAAAAAAAAAAUAUUCAAAAGCAAAACCCGUAAGAAUGGUCAAAGAAAAUUAGAAUUAAGAUGAGGAAAUGUACGUGUGUAUUGCAUGGGAUUUUUAAAAAAAAUAGAAAAAAUUUUUUUUAAAUUUAAUAUGAUAUCCCUCAUAAUGAAAGAUGGAAAAGUACUUAAAGAUUAUUAUGCUUAUUUCUCUGCAUUAAAAACAAGUAAAAUUAAGGCGAAUAAAGAAACAAAUAAAUGGGUAAAAAUUUUACUUAAAAGAGAAUUUCGUCUUCUUCGAAAAUAUAAAUUUAAACUAAAUCUUAAUAAGUAUAAAUUUGAAGAAAAAUUUUUAUAUAGAUUAAGUAAUGUUAUAAGCAAAAUUUAUAAUAAACAAAUAGAAUUUAAUAUUGUGAAUUUGAAAAAUAUAGUAUUUAAUACUGAUUUGUUCACUGAAAUAUCUACAAAAAAAAUUAAAAAGAGAAAUACGAAAGUUCUAAAAAUAAUGAAUAUUAUGUUAAAUAAAGCUAAGUUACCUAGAGUAAAUAGAAUUCAUGAAAAAGGUAGAAUCGUUAAAAAAGUAAAUUUAAAUUUAGUUGAAAAUAAAUAUAGAACUCUUAAUCUGAAAGAUAUAUUAACUAGUAAACUUAAUUUAGAUAAAUUGUUAACUAAAUUAUAUACUAGUGUUGUUAAUGAUGAAUUCUUACCACGAGUUAAGGCCAAUUUGAAUAAUAUCGUAUUUAAUGGUAUUAAAUACAAGAAUAUGGCUGGGAUUAGAAUGGAAGUUAAAGGUAGAUUAACUCCGCGUUAUAGAGCGGAUCGUAGUGUUUAUAGAUUACGUUGGAAAGGAGGUUUAAAAAAUAUCGACUCUUCUUAUAAAGGAUUAUCUGUACGAAAAUAUAGAGGUCACAUUAACCCUAACGUUGGUUAUUCUAUUUUUUCAUCUAAACGAAGAGUUGGUGCUUUUGCUGUGAAAGGAUGGAUGAGUGGUAAGAGUUAUUCUACAGUGUCUAAUAAUAGAAUGGAUUUAACUGCUUCUUAAAACCCUUGAGUUGUGACGGGGCUUGUAGAUGCAGAAGGAAGUUUUAAUAUUACUGUAGUUAAGAAUAAUAAUAGUAAGUUAGGUUGAGUAACUAAAUUACGUCUUGAAAUGUCUAUGUUAAAAAAAGAUAGAUCUACAUUAGAACAAUUAGUAAAUUAUUUUGGUGGAGGUGGUAUUCGUGAUUUGGAUGCUAACAAUCUUCGUUUUUACAUAGAAUCUUUAAAAGAUUUAACAGCAGUUAUAAACCAUUUUGACAAAUAUCCCCUGUUUACUAAAAAACAUGAGGAUUACUUACUUUUUAAAGAGGUAUUUGACCUGUUUAAAAAUAAAAAUCACUUAACUAUGGAAGGAUUAAGACAGGUUAUAGCAAUAAAAGCUUUGUUAAGAAAUAAGGGAUUAUCAGAUUCUUUAUUAGAAGCUUUUCCUGAUAUUACUCCUGCAAAUCUACCUAUUACGGAUACUACUUCUUUUAGAGGAGAUGAAAGUAUUCUUUUUCCUUGAUUAGCUGGCUUUACAUCUGGUGAUGGAAAUUUCUAUAUUAGUAUAGCAGAAGGGGCAAAGCGUGUGCAAAUACAAUUAGUUUUUUCAAUUACUCAACAUAUUCGUGAUCAAGCUUUGAUGAACAAUUUAAUAUCUUAUCUUGGAUGUGGAAACAUAAAACACUAUGAAAAAAAUUCUUGAUUACAAUUUAUUGUUACGAAAUUUUCGGAUAUAGAUGAAAAGAUAAUUCCGAUCUUUAGAGAAAACAAGAUAUUAGGUGAGAAAUCUAAAGAUUUUCAAGAUUGGUGUAGAGCAGCUGAAUUAAUGAAAAAUAAAGCACAUUUAACUCCUUCUGGUUUAGAUGAGAUACGUAAAUUAAAAUCUGGAAUGAAUAAAGGAAGGAUUGCAUAGUUAAUAAAGAAAGAUAGAAGCAAGCUCCUAAAUAUUAUUUAUUAGGGUCAGGAUGGCCGGUAAGUCUUAUUCUACUAUGGCUUCUAGUUAUAAUACGGUGAAAAAAUCUUUAAAUAAUUUGACUAGGAGAACGACUAUAUUCUAGAACUGUUACUGGGUUUGUUGAUGCUGAAGGUUGCUUUUUAAUUACCUUAGCUAAAAAUAAUCAAAGUAAAAGUGGUUGAGUGGUUAAAUUACGUUUUCAAAUUCAUUUAAAUAAAAAAGAUAUAGCUAUAUUAGAACAAAUAGUAAAUUUUUUUGGUGCGGGUAAAAUUUAUCAACCUAGUGAAAAUUCUAUUCAAUUACAUAUUGAAUCUAUAAAAGAAUUAGAACUUCCCUGCGUAGCGUGGGGAGUUCCCCCGAGCUUGCGUCGGGGGAGGGAACUAAUUAUAAAUCAUUUUUAUCAGUAUCCUCUUUUAUUGACUCAAAAAUAUAAGGAUUACUUACUAUUUAAACUUGCUUUCGACAUAGUUAAAAAUAAAAAUUAUUUAACUACAUAAGGUUUAGAUGAGAUAUAUAAAUUAAAAGCAGGCAGGAAUGAAUAAAGGAAGAAUUUUUUAAGGUAGCGCUUAUGAAAUAUGAGUGCACCAAAAAUAUAAAUAGGUUUUCAAGAAAGCAUUGUAGGCGUAAUAUAUAUAAUAAAAAGUGAAUACAUAGUCUGAACCAUUUUGUAAAAAAUGGAAAAUUAAGAUAACAAAUUGAACAGGCUAAUUUGCGCAAGAGUGUACAUAAUGAGUGCGCGGUUUGGCACCUCGAUGUCGGCUUAACUUCUCCUCUGGGAUGCAGGACCUCGGUAGGGUACGACUGUUCGUCGAUUAAAAAGUUACAUGAGCUGGGUUAAAUACGUCGUGAGACAGUAUGGUUUCUAUCUUCUAGAGGGAAUUAGAAUAGAAUAAGGAGUAACCUAGUACGAAAGGAAUGUGGGGAAUUAAGUUAUUCUGGGUAAUACCAGGGUACACUUUAUUAACCUAUGGUUUACCUGUUGUUUAUAUGCCCGAUAUUAAUUAAUGUAUAAGUGUUAGUACGUUUUAUACAGGGAUACUACUUUCACUCAGGUAGGUAAGUGAGUAUAGCAAUACCUGCUAUAUUACAAUAGUAUAGGCACGGCAGGAAAGCUAAGUUAGUCCAAGAUAAGCGCUGAAAGCAUAUAAGCGCGAGGCUUACCUUAAGAUAUUUCUAAAAUAUACGUAAUAUACUAUUACGAAGUAAACGAAAGUUUAUAUUUAUAGGCUUUAUUUGUAAGAAUCCGGAGAUUUUGAGGAAUAGAGUACUAAUUCAAUAAAUCACUAACAUAUGUUAUAUCAAUUUCAUUUUUUACCCUAAUUUUAUACGGAAUAAUGGUGUCAACCCUUCAAGUUUAGUUUAAUAAGUAGUUGUAAUUCGAAACAGAGCUUGUUUGCUCACGAAGACGAAGUAUGCCUACUAAAAAAUAAAAAAAAAUAUUAAACAAUUUGACUGGUGUUUAGUACGGCUGCUGUGUAAAUAUGCAUGCCGAAAAGAACCUUGUAAAGCAUACCUCUAGCGAGCGUGUGUGCACAUUUGUCUGUCUUUAUAUAAUAAAAUAAGAAACUGAUUGUUUAUUAAUUAAUAUAUAUAGUAAGGGACUACACAAAAUCCCUGCAAUCAGUCUACUACCUCAACACUUUCAAUAUUCUAUAUAUAAGAAGGAGCGUGGUGGUAGCUACGGCGGCGUGUUUACGACGAAGUCGCCGUGGAGAAGAAAGAAGAGUAAGAAAUUUACCCUGGAUAGGGUCGCACUUCCGAAAAGAUAUACGAAAGCGCUGCUUCGUUAACGUCAAGGUUAACAUUCCUAUUAAAAGUAGUGGGCUACAACCCCAUGAUCUUCUGUGGUAGUGGCUUAAAUCAGCAAAGCUAACGGUUAUAUUGUGAAUAAGCAGGCCAGUAUAUCCUAGUAGGAUUUGCGAUUAUAAGUUCUCUCGAUUUAAAUAAGUCUUGUCAAGAUAUGAUUCUAUCUUAUUCGGCGAACUUUAUUACGGAAUAAGACUGGUGUCUGGGUCACAAGUCUGGGCUUGAUUAGAAUAAUUACUCUAAUGACGGUACAGUGAGGACGAAAGCCCCUCAUGAAGUAAACAACGGUUUUAUGAAGAAUAAAAGAAUUCAAAGAAUAAGACAAAAUAGAAGAGUUAACUUGAAAAAGAACUUAUUUCUAUCGAGGAACGAAUGUUUAUAAAAUAUGUAAAGUUACUAUUUGUAAUUUUAACUGUAUAUAAUAUCGCCAAUAUAGAUUAAGUGGAAGUUUAAAAAAUUUAAUAAAUACCAAAAAUGAAAAUAAUAAUUAAUGCAGCCAGAAAAUAUAUUGGUAAUAACCAAUACAAAAAUAUGUUCUCUUUUAUUGAAGAUAGAGUUGUUUCGGGGGCAGCUUUCAAAAUUCUGCAAAAUAAGUUUAUUACGGCUGCGCCUAGUGUAAACAAACUAACCAAUCGACAAUAUUCUGAUCAUGCUAAUUUUAAGUUCUCUCCUUUAUUAAACACUGAAUUACAUCCUUGAUGAGUUACUGGUUUUUGUGAUGCGGAGAGUUGUUUUAAUAUAGCUAUAUUUAAAAGUACCACUUAUAAAGAAGGAUGGGGAGUAAAAGCCACAUUUCGAAUCGAUCUUCACAAGAAAGAUUUAGAUGUCUUGAAACUUAUUCAAGCUUAUUUUAAAUUAGAAAAUAAAGGAUCAGGGAAUGAUGAAGAGGUAAAUAGAAUAAUAAUCAUUGAAAAUAGAGUUGCUUUCGUAGUAUCUUCUAUUAAAGUAUUAAUUAAUAUUGUCGAUCAUUUUGAUAGAUAUCCACUUUUAACACAGAAGCGAAAGGAUUAUCUCACUUGAAGAAAAGUAGUACUUAUGUUAAGCCGAAAAGAACAUCUAUCUAAUGAGGGGUUAAAAACUAUUGUUAAUCUUAAGGAUUCAUUAAAUAUGGGGCUGUCAGAAGCAAUAAAGACAGCUUUUCAAUUAACUACUAAAGAAGGAAAUCCUUUAGGAACGUCUCUCGUGAGUGGUCUUAGCGAAGAAGUUUCUUUUAAUUCGCAAUGACUAGGUGGUUUUACGUCAGGUGAUGGUAGUUUUAUGGUUCAAUUAGAACCUAAUAAAAGUAAACUUAAGAAAUCUCCUAGAUUAGUCUUUUCACUAACUCAGCACUCACGAGAUGAGGAACUAAUGAAAAAGUUAAUUCAUUAUUUGGAUUGUGGUGGGGUAUCUAAAAACUCGAAAAAUUCGUCCGCGGUAAAAUUUAGAGUAACCAAAUUUAUUGAUAUUUGUGAAAAAAUAAUCCCACUCUUUUUAAGAGAAAAUCUAAUUGUGGGUAUAAAAUCUAAGGACUUUGCAGAUUGAUGUAAAGUGGCAGAAAUCAUGAAGUCCAAGGGACAUUUAACUCAAGAAGGAAUUGAUAAAAUUAUUCUUUUAAAGGGUAACAUGAAUAAAGCAAGAGUUAAUUAAGUUUACUUUGUUAAAAACUUUUUGUAUGCUUUUCAGAUCCCCCCGGCGCAAUAUCGGGGAUCUCCUCUAGCGGGUGGAUCUAUUUUUUAGGGCGCAAGCUCUCUUUGAGUAGGCAAUAGUCUAUUUGAUCUUUUGCUUUUUUUGUUUUUUCAUAGCUUGUUUGAUGCGGUAUAAUUUAGUUUUUAAGGAAAUAUCUUAAUUUAUAGGGGGCUAUUAUAAGACAGUAGGUAGCCCCUCGUCUAUCAUCUCAAAUUGUUCCUUAUCUUUUUAUCAAAGAUGGGCGCAGCCCUAAAAUAGCUAUGUAUAGAAUGAAAGGAAAAGGUACAAGUGGAGAGAGGAAGCACGAGGCUUACCUUAAGAUAUUUCUUAAAUAGACGUAAGAUAAUAUUACGAAUACAUAACCCUUUAUAUAGUUGGUUUUUGCUCAUUUAAAUUCUAAGCUGUAUGAGCAAAAGUAAAAGGGAGGAUUGUAGUAUAGGCUUUAUUUGUAAUAACCUGGAGGUUUUGAGGAAUAGAGUACUAAUUCUUUAAAUUACUACUAUAAAUUAUAUCUAUCAUAUAAUCUAUUGGGCCUGGUUAGCAUAUUUCUUUUACCUUUAAGAGUAAUAGGGAUAUGUGAUCAGCAAAAUAGCUUACUUAUUUAAUAUAGGUAAACACACAUACAAGACACCUAAAUCAGCUAGUCCUAAACCAUUCCACCCUAGGAUUUAGGUUUCUUUUUUUCCUACCCAUUACAGUAGAGGGGAGGCAAUGUAUUACUUGAUAAUAUAGAGCCAGAAGCUUUGUAUUUAUGAACAAUAUAGAUUAUUCUUUAUAAUAAUUAAUAAUUUAAGUUAUUAUUAGUAAUUUUAUCAAUAAGAUAUAUUUAUUAGUAAUUAAUUAUAGAUAAUUGAUUAAAGGUUAUUGAUAGUUAAUAGUCGGCGUAACAUACAAACCUUGAAUGUAGUGCUCAAGUUCCCAUAAGACUUAGAGUUAUACUUUUCACUUGCGGCCUAGGUAGGGGGCUAUAUUUGUAAAUAAAUUGAAAUUAAAUAUAAAAAAAAAUGGAAAAAAAAAUUAAUAAAGGUACAUUAGGGUUAUUAUUGAAUAGGUUUUUUAGUAGUAGCAGUAACUUUUUAAAUGAUUGUUUUACACACAAUAGGAUUAAAAGUUUAUAUACUUCAGAUAUAGAAAGUAUUUUGAAAAGCAACCUUUCUUUUUAUGAGAAUAAUCUUCCUUUGUUUUAUCAAUGAUUAUCAGGGUU
rnacentral:rRNA from 1 species